UACGGAGGGUGCAAGCGUUAAUCGGAAUUACUGGGCGUAAAGCGCGCGUAGGCGGUUGGGUAAGUCAGAUGUGAAAGCCCCGGGCUCAACCUGGGAACUGCAUUUGAUACUGCCCGACUCGAGUAUGGUAGAGGGGGGUGGAAUUCCCGGAGUAGCGGUGAAAUGCGUAGAUAUCGGGAGGAACACCAGUGGCGAAGGCGGCCCCCUGGACCAAUACUGACGCUGAGGUGCGAAAGCGUGGGGAGCAAACAGG
rnacentral:rRNA from 1 species